AGCAGUAGCCGCGGUAAUACGAGGGGGGCAAGCGUUGUUCGGAAUUAUUGGGCGUAAAGGGUGCGUAGGCGGCUUGACAAGUCUUGUGUGAAAUCUAUGGGCUCAACCCAUAGUCUGCACGGGAAACUGUCGGGCUUGAGAAUGGGAGAGGUGAGUGGAAUUUCCGGUGUAGCGGUGAAAUGCGUAGAUAUCGGAAGGAACACCUGUGGCGAAAGCGGCUCACUGGACCAUUUCUGACGCUGAUGCACGAAAGCUAGGGGAGCAAACAGGAUUAGAUACCCGCGUAGUCCCUGUCUCUUAUAC
rnacentral:rRNA from 1 species